AGAAAUUUAGGAUACACACAUAGUCCAAGUGCCUUCAAAGCCCUUAGAGGGAGUGAAAACCUCUCAAUUUCUG
rnacentral:tRNA from 1 species